rnacentral:rRNA from 1 species
GUGGGGAAUAUUGGACAAUGGGCGAUAGCCUGAUCCAGCCAUGCCGCGUGUGUGAAGAAGGUCUUCGGAUUGUAAAGCACUUUAAGUUGGGAGGAAGGGCAGUAAGUUAAUACCUUGCUGUUUUGACGUUACCGACAGAAUAAGCACCGGCUAACUUCGUGCCAGCAGCCGCGGUAAUACGAAGGGUGCAAGCGUUAAUCGGAAUUACUGGGCGUAAAGCGCGCGUAGGUGGUUUUGUAAGUUGGAGGUGAAAUCCCCGGGCUCAACCUGGGAACUGCCUCCAAAACUGCAUGACUAGAGUACGGUAGAGGGUAGUGGAAUUUCCUGUGUAGCGGUGAAAUGCGUAGAUAUAGGAAGGAACACCAGUGGCGAAGGCGACUACCUGGACUGAUACUGACACUGAGGUGCGAAAGCGUGGGGAGCAAACAGGAUUAGAUACCCGAGUAGUCC